AGUGGGGAAUAUUGCACAAUGGGCGCAAGCCUGAUGCAGCCAUGCCGCGUGUGUGAAGAAGGCCUUCGGGUUGUAAAGCACUUUCAGUCGUGAGGAAGGUGGUAGUGUUAAUAGCACUAUCAUUUGACGUUAGCGACAGAAGAAGCACCGGCUAACUCCGUGCCAGCAGCCGCGGUAAUACGGAGGGUGCGAGCGUUAAUCGGAAUUACUGGGCGUAAAGCGCAUGCAGGUGGUUUGUUAAGUCAGAUGUGAAAGCCCGGGGCUCAACCUCGGAACUGCAUUUGAAACUGGCAGACUAGAGUACUGUAGAGGGGGGUAGAAUUUCAGGUGUAGCGGUGAAAUGCGUAGAGAUCUGAAGGAAUACCGGUGGCGAAGGCGGCCCCCUGGACAGAUACUGACACUCAGAUGCGAAAGCGUGGGGAGCAAACAGGAUUAGAUACCCUGGUAGUCCACGCUGUAAACGAUGUCUACUUGGAGGUUGUGGCCUUGAGCCGUGGCUUUCGGAGCUAACGCGUUAAGUAGA
rnacentral:rRNA from 1 species